rnacentral:lncRNA from 1 species
AUGAAUUGUACCAAAACUCACCAAGUUAUGAGUUACCACUACAAUGUCUAUCUUCCUAAAGGAUGGACUUUCUCCUGUGGAAAUAUUACUUAUGCUUAUGUCCCAGGUAACAUUACAGGAGGUCCCUGUGCAAUCUCUUGCCUAACCAUGACCAUGUUUUCCAAAUCUGACCUGAUCACUAAAACCACCCAGCUACACAAACUGCUGAGAGACAGGAGAGAUGUUAAAAACACCCUUAAUGCAGAUUGUAACC